CCUCUGCAAUACGCGAAAGCUUCACAGGGUUACUCUGAGUCAUUCCCGCUAAGGGAAUCUUUUGGCAUCUCUAAAAAUGGUGCAGAAUACGGGGUGGGCAAGUCUGGUGUCAGCCGCCGCGGUAAUACCAGCACCCCGAGUGGUCGGGACGAUUAUUGGGCCUACAGCAUCCGUAGCCGGUCUUGCAAGUCCUCCGUUAAAUCCAGCUGCUUAACAGAUGGGCUGCGGAGGAUACUACAAGGCUACGAGGCGGGAGAGGCAAGCGGUACUCAAUGGGUAGGGGUAAAAUCCUCUGAUCCAUUGAAGACCACCAGUGGCGAAGGCGGCUUGCCAGAACGCGCUCGACGGUCAGGGAUGAAAGCUGGGGGAGCAAACCGGAUUAGAUACCCCCGUAGUCC
rnacentral:rRNA from 1 species